AGCUUGGAAACAAGUGGCUGUCUUUGUUUAGUUUUGAGUGAGCUUUCACUCAAUGAUCAUUGAAAACUGAAUAUCAAACACACCAUAGAUUGUGUCUCGAUGCGAGCAUAAUUUAUGGCAAAUAAUUUCUAGAUAAUAAACCGAGAAAUAAACCGAGUUGUACGAAAGUAUAACAAACUAAGAGCGCGAAAGAGUGG
rnacentral:misc_RNA from 1 species